UGGGGAAUUUUGGACAAUGGGCGAAAGCCUGAUCCAGCAAUGCCGCGUGUGUGAAGAAGGCCUUCGGGUUGUAAAGCACUUUUGUCCGGAAAGAAAUCCUCUGGGGUUAAUACCCUCGGGGGGAUGACGGUACCGGAAGAAUAAGCACCGGCUAACUACGUGCCAGCAGCCGCGGUAAUACGUAGGGUGCAAGCGUUAAUCGGAAUUACUGGGCGUAAAGCGUGCGCAGGCGGUUUUGUAAGACGGAUGUGAAAUCCCCGGGCUUAACCUGGGAACUGCAUUCGUGACUGCAAGGCUAGAGUAUGGCAGAGGGGGGUAGAAUUCCACGUGUAGCAGUGAAAUGCGUAGAGAUGUGGAGGAAUACCGAUGGCGAAGGCAGCCCCCUGGGCCAAUACUGACGCUCAUGCACGAAAGCGUGGGGAGCAAACAGGAUUAGGAUACCCUGGUAGUCCACGCCCUAAACGAUGUCAACUAGUUGUUGGGGAUUCAUUUCCUUAGUAACGUAGCUAACGCGUGAAGUUGACCGCCUGGGGGAGUACGGUCGCAAGAUUAAAACUCAAAUGAAUUGACGGGGUCAUAGCUGUUUCC
rnacentral:rRNA from 1 species